UCUCUCUCUGCUAUUCCUCAGAACCCCCCCCCCCCCCUCUGCCAAACACCUCUCCGUCGCUCCCUCCUCCCCUCCGCCAGCCAUGAUGGCCACCCUCACCGCCACCGCCGCCGCCGCCGUUGCCUCCUCUUCCGUCGCCAUCCGCCCGUUCCGCGCCCACAAGCCCUCCCGCGCGCCCCGCCGGGAUCCGGUGCUCCGUCACCGAGGGCCCCGCGAUCUCCCAGCUGAGGGCCGCCGGCGGGGGACUGGUUGAUUGCGUGGUGGUCGGGGGCGGGAUCAGCGGGCUUUGCAUCGCCCAGGCGCUCGCCACGAAGCACUGCGACAGGGCCCCCGACGUGGUCGUCACCGAGGCUAGGGACCGCGUCGACGGCAACAUCACCACCGUCGAGAGGGACGGCUACCUGUGGGAGGAGGGCCCCAAUAGUUUCCAGCCAUUCCGAGAUUUGUACGUUCCGUCGGUCCCAUUCCGAGAUUUCUUUCCAUCGGUCCCAUUCCGAGAUUUGUACGUUCCGUCUACUCUAAUUUUGUGACCUUUUUAUUGAAGUUCUCGAGUAUGUUUGUGUGUUAACUGAUAGAUACAUCGUCGGAUUAUUGUAAUGGUUGUCGUUGCUCUUGUUUCGUUAGAAUUGGGUAUAGUCUUCAUCGAGAAAUGGAGAUGAUGUUUGUGAGUUUAUAGGGUAAAUGGGUCAGGAUACGGUGCUUUGCAAGUGUUUGAUGAAUGACCCAGUUCUCCAAUUUGCGAAUAGACGUGCAAUUUUGGACUUUUUUUAUGCUGUUGCGAAUAGCGGGGCGAGGCUCGAAUCGGCGUGAGUUCUUUCUUGGGUGUUCUUCCUUUUUUUUUUCUGGGGGAAAGGAAGAAAAUGGAGAGGACAAAGCUAUCGUUGGAUAGAUGCUCAAGAACACUCAGACUUCACUUGCAGAAGAACAAGAACGCAAUCGCCAGUUGACAAAGCCUGUAACUGCUGAAAAGAUGGAAACAAGAAAAGCAGAGC